rnacentral:rRNA from 1 species
UUGGUUAGGUAACGGCUUACCUUUGCUUUUAUGCGUAGCCAACCUGAGAGGGUGAUCGGCCACACUGGAACUGAGACACGGUCCAGACUCCUACGGGAGGCAGCAGUAGGGAAUCUUCCGCAAUGGGCGAAAGCCUGACGGAGCAACGCCGCGUGAGUGAUGAAGGUCUUCGGAUCGUAAAACUCUGUUAUUAGGGAACAACAAAUGUGUAAGUAACUAUGCACGUCUUGACGGUACCUAAACAGAAAGCCGGGGCUAACUACGUGCCAACAGCCGCGGCAAUACGUAAGAGGCAAGCGUUAUCCGGAAUUAUUGGGCGUAAAGCGCGCGUAAGCGGGUUUUUAAGACUGAUGUGAGGGCCCACGGCUCAAGGGUGGGGGGUCAUUGGAGACUGGAAGCUUGAGUGCAAAACAGGAAAAGGAAUUCCAUGUGUAGCGGAAAACGCACAAAAUAUAGGGGAAAGGGCGGCGAGGGCGAGGUAUCUGCCUGAACUGACGGUAAUCCGCGGAAACGUGCGGAUCGAACGGGAAUAAAAACGCUGGAAGUCCGGCGCGAAACGAGAG